AUUGAACGCUGGCGGCAGGCCUAACACAUGCAAGUCGAGCGGAUGAGAGGAGCUUGCUCUUCGAUUCAGCGGCGGACGGGUGAGUAAUGCCUAGGAAUCUGCCCAGUAGUGGGGGACAACGUUUCGAAAGGAACGCUAAUACCGCAUACGUCCUACGGGAGAAAGUGGGGGAUCUUCGGACCUCACGCUAUUGGAUGAGCCUAGGUCGGAUUAGCUAGUUGGUAGGGUAAAGGCCUACCAAGGCGACGAUCCGUAACUGGUCUGAGAGGAUGAUCAGUCACACUGGAACUGAGACACGGUCCAGACUCCUACGGGAGGCAGCAGUGGGGAAUAUUGGACAAUGGGCGCAAGCCUGAUCCAGCCAUGCCGCGUGUGUGAAGAAGGCCCUCGGGUCGUAAAGCACUUUAAGUUGGGAGGAAGGGCUUACAGCGAAUACCUGUGAGUUUUGACGUUACCGACAGAAUAAGCACCGGCUAACUUCGUGCCAGCAGCCGCCGCAG
rnacentral:rRNA from 1 species